ensembl:lncRNA LINC02064 long intergenic non-protein coding RNA 2064
GAAGAGGAAAGGCUGGGGGUUUCGGAUGGUUGUUUUUGAAGCCAUCAGUAUUCUUGAAGAAGCAGCAUAUCUUGAACUGUCCUAUGGGUGAAGGCUUUGAUGUGGUCCUGUAAAAACUGGCAUUGAAAUGGAUGGCAUCUGAUCCUGCUUCAUGUGAUUCUUCAUUUAGCUCUGGACUCUUUACAUCAUUAAGGAAGAAGUGUUAUCAAUUCUGUUGAUGGACCCCUUAAUCUCUUCUACUGAUUAUCUUCUACUUGAACCAGUGCCAAAUUAAUGUUGCAAGCUUUGUCUUGAAAUAUUUUCUUCUGAGCAUCAGCCAGAGAUCACUGAUUGGUUCACAGGAAUAAGCAGGGUUACUCUAAACUGCUUGAAAAGGAAACCUCAAAAACAACUGAUGAAACUAGAAUUUAAUAACAAGUGUACCAUAAUUCUUGAAACAUAAUUUUUCUCUCUCUAGUCUUUCAUUUUUACCAAAGACAAAUCAUGGUAAGUUCAA